UAAAAGGUUAUGAUAAAGCAAAGUAGGCUUAUUAAACUUACAGAGAUGGAUUCUAAUAGCUGAGAGGAAUCUUAAGUCAAUAAUAAGUUGAAGUGCGCUUUUGAACCUCUACCUGAAACUUUAGUAGGGAUGGACGUUGGCUACGUUAUAGCUUUAAGAGAAGGGUAAGAUUUUACUCAAUCAGAGUGGAACCACGAUAUAAAAGUCGUCUCUGUA
rnacentral:ncRNA from 1 species